UACGAAGGGGGCUAGCGUUGUUCGGAUUUACUGGGCGUAAAGCGCACGUAGGCGGAUUGUUAAGUCAGGGGUGAAAUCCCGGAGCUCAACUCCGGAACUGCCUUUGAUACUGGCAAUCUAGAGUCCGGAAGAGGUGAGUGGAACUCCUAGUGUAGAGGUGGAAUUCGUAGAUAUUAGGAAGAACACCAGUGGCGAAGGCGGCUCACUGGUCCGGUACUGACGCUGAGGCGCGAAAGCGUGGGGAGCAAACAGGG
rnacentral:rRNA from 1 species